CACAAGCAGCGGAGCGUGUGGUUUAAUUCGAUGCUACACGAAGAACCUUACCAGGGUUUGACAUACAAGUAGUAGGGAAAGGAAACUGGACCGACCCUUCGGGGAGCUUGAACAGGUGCUGCAUGGCUGUCGUCAGCUCGUGUCGUGAGAUGUUCGGUUAAGUCCGCUAACGAGCGCAACCCUCGCUGUGUGUUACAAGUGUCACACGGAACUGCCGGUCAUAAACCGGAGGAAGGUGGGGAUGACGUCAAGCCAGCAUGGCCUUUAUAUCCUGGGCUACACACACGCUACAAUGGGAAGGGACGAUAGGUUGCGAAACCGCGAGGUGGAGCCAAUCCAGCAAAACUUCCCUCAGUUCAGAUUGCAGGCUGCAACUCGCCUGCAUGAAGUUGGAGUUGCUAGUAAACGCAGGUCAGCCAUACUGCGUUGAAUACGUUCCCGGGGCUU
rnacentral:rRNA from 1 species